UGGGGAAUAUUGCGCAAUGGGCGGAAGCCUGACGCAGCGACGCCGCGUGGGGGAUGAAGGCCUUCGGGUUGUAAACCUCUUUCACCAGGGACGAAGCUAACGUGACGGUACCUGGGGAAGAAGCGCCGGCUAACUACGUGCCAGCAGCCGCGGUAAUACGUAGGGCGCAAGCGUUGUCCGGAUUUAUUGGGCGUAAAGAGCUCGUAGGCGGCCUGUCGCGUCUGCUGUGAAAUCCCGGGGCUUAACCCCGGGCGUGCAGUGGAUACGGGCUGGCUGGAGGCAGGCAGGGGAGAAUGGAAUUCCCGGUGUAGCGGUGAAAUGCGCAGAUAUCGGGAGGAACACCGGUGGCGAAGGCGGUUCUCUGGGCCUGUUCUGACGCUGAGGAGCGAAAGCGUGGGGAGCGAACAGGAUUAGAUACCCCGCGUAGUCC
rnacentral:rRNA from 1 species